GUUCGUCUAGAUUUGUCGGCUUGCGGGGAGACUUCAGGAGUCGCUGUCUCUGAACUUCCAGCCUCAGAGACCGCCGCCCUUGUCCCCGAGGGCCAUGGGCCGGGUCUCAGGGCUUGUGCCCUCUCGCUUCCUGACGCUCCUGGCGCAUCUGGUGGUCGUCAUCACCUUAUUCUGGUCCCGGGACAGCAACAUACAGGCCUGCCUGCCUCUCACGUUCACCCCCGAGGAGUAUGACAAGCAGGACAUUCAGCUGGUGGCCGCGCUCUCUGUCACCCUGGGCCUCUUUGCAGUGGAGCUGGCCGGUUUCCUCUCAGGAGUCUCCAUGUUCAACAGCACCCAGAGCCUCAUCUGUAUCCUUUCUGCCUGCCCACCUUUCCCACACGACCCACUUCUAUCAGGA
rnacentral:lncRNA from 1 species